rnacentral:rRNA from 1 species
CCUACGGGGGGCUGCAGUGGGGAAUAUUGCACAAUGGGGGAAACCCUGAUGCAGCGACGCCGCGUGAAGGAAGAAGGUUUUCGGAUCGUAAACUUCUAUCAGCAGGGAAGAAGGAAGUGACAGUACCUGACUAAGAAGCCCCGGCUAACUACGUGCCAGCAGCCGCGGUAAAACGGAGGGGGCAAGCGUUAUCCGGACUCACUGGGGGUAAAGGGUGCGUAGGCGGUAGGGCAAUUCCGAUGUGAAAGCCCGGGGCUGAACCCCGUGAGUGCAUUUGAAACUGUCUUACUAGAAUGCAGGAGAGGAAAGCGGAUUUCUUAGUGUAGCGGUGAAAUGCGUAGAUAUUAGGAAGAACGCCAGUGGCGAAGGCGGCUUUCUGGACUGUAACUGACGCUGAGGCACGAAAGCGUGGGGAGCGAACAGGAUUAGAUACCCUUGUAGUC